rnacentral:rRNA from 1 species
UACGUAGGGUGCGAGCGUUUAAUCGGAAUUACUGGGCGUAAAGCGUGCGCAGGCGGUUUGUUAAGACAGAUGUGAAAUCCCCGGGCUUAACCUGGGAACUGCAUUUGUGACUGGCAAGCUAGAGUAUGGCAGAGGGGGGGUAGAAUUCCACGUGUAGCAGUGAAAUGCGUAGAGAUGUGGAGGAAUACCGAUGGCGAAGGCAGCCCCCCUGGGCCAAUACUGACGCUCAUGCACGAAAGCGUGGGGAGCAAACAGG